rnacentral:rRNA from 1 species
AUGCUGGAGGUAUCAGAAGUGCGAAUGCUGACAUAAGUAACGAUAAAGCGGGUGAAAAGCCCGCUCGCCGGAAGACCAAGGGUUCCUGUCCAACGUUAAUCGGGGCAGGGUGAGUCGACCCCUAAGGCGAGGCCGAAAGGCGUAGUCGAUGGGAAACAGGUUAAUAUUCCUGUACUUGGUGUUACUGCGAAGGGGGGACGGAGAAGGCUAUGUUGGCCGGGCGACGGUUGUCCCGGUUUAAGCGUGUAGGCUGGUUUUCCAGGUAAAUCCGGAAAAUCAAGGCUGAGGCGUGAUGACGAGGCACUACGGUGCUGAAGCAACAAAUGCCCUGCUUCCAGGAAAAGCCUCUAAGCAUCAGGUAACAUCAAAUCGUACCCCAAACCGACACAGGUGGUCAGGUAGAGAAUACCAAGGCGCUUGAGAGAACUCGGGUGAAGGAACUAGGCAAAAUGGUGCCGUAACUUCGGGAGAAGGCACGCUGAUAUGUAGGUGAAGCGACUUGCUCGUGGAGCUGAAAUCAGUCGAAGAUACCAGCUGGCUGCAACUGUUUAUUAAAAACACAGCACUGUGCAAACACGAAAGUGGACGUAUACGGUGUGACGCCUGCCCGGUGCCGGAAGGUUAAUUGAUGGGGUUAGCGGUAACGCGAAGCUCUUGAUCGAAGCCCCGGUAAACGGCGGCCGUAACUAUAACGGUCCUAAGGUAGCGAAAUUCCUUGUCGGGUAAGUUCCGACCUGCACGAAUGGCGUAAUGAUGGCCAGGCUGUCUCCACCCGAGACUCAGUGAAAUUGAACUCGCUGUGAAGAUGCAGUGUACCCGCGGCAAGACGGAAAGACCCCGUGAACCUUUACUAUAGCUUGACACUGAACAUUGAGCCUUGAUGUGUAGGAUAGGUGGGAGGCUUUGAAGUGUGGACGCCAGUCUGCAUGGAGCCGACCUUGAAAUACCACCCUUUAAUGUUUGAUGUUCUAACGUUGGCCCGUUAUCGGGGUUGCGGACAGUGUCUGGUGGGUAGUUUGACUGGGGCGGUCUCCUCCUAAAGAGUAACGGAGGAGCACGAAGGUUGGCUAAUCCUGGUCGGACAUCAGGAGGUUAGUGCAAUGGCAUAAGCCAGCUUGACUGCGAGCGUGACGGCGCGAGCAGGUGCGAAAGCAGGUCAUAGUGAUCCGGUGGUUCUGAAUGGAAGGGCCAUCGCUCAACGGAUAAAAGGUACUCCGGGGAUAACAGGCUGAUACCGCCCAAGAGUUCAUAUCGACGGCGGUGUUUGGCACCUCGAUGUCGGCUCAUCACAUCCUGGGGCUGAAGUAGGUCCCAAGGGUAUGGCUGUUCGCCAUUUAAAGUGGUACGCGAGCUGGGUUUAGAACGUCGUGAGACAGUUCGGUCCCUAUCUGCCGUGGGCGCUGGAGAACUGAGGGGGGCUGCUCCUAGUACGAGAGGACCGGAGUGGACGCAUCACUGGUGUUCGGGUUGUCAUGCCAAUGGCACUGCCCGGUAGCUAAAUGCGGAAGAGAUAAGUGCUGAAAGCAUCUAAGCACGAAACUUGCCCCGAGAUGAGUUCUCCCUGACUCCUUGAGAGUCCUGAAGGAACGUUGAAGACGACGACGUUGAUAGGCCGGGUGUGUAAGCGCAGCGAUGCGUUGAGCUAACCGGUACUAAUGAACCGUGAGGCUUAACCUU